UGCUAAUACACUUCUUUUUCUUUCUUUUUUUUUUUUUUCCUUUUCCU
rnacentral:ribozyme from 1 species